rnacentral:rRNA from 1 species
UAGGGAAUCUUCCGCAAUGGACGCAAGUCUGACGGAGCAACGCCGCGUGAGUGAAGAAGGAUUUCGGUUCGUAAAACUCUGUUGUUAGAGAAGAACAGCGCAUAGAGUAACUGUUAUGCGUGUGACGGUAUCUAACCAGAAAGCCACGGCUAACUACGUGCCAGCAGCCGCGGUAAUACGUAGGUGGCAAGCGUUAUCCGGAUUUAUUGGGCGUAAAGCGAGCGCAGGCGGUCAAUUAAGUCUGAUGUGAAAGCCCCCGGCUCAACCGGGGAGGGUCAUUGGAAACUGGUUGACUUGAGUGCAGAAGAGGAGAGUGGAAUUCCAUGUGUAGCGGUGAAAUGCGUAGAUAUAUGGAGGAACACCAGUGGCGAAGGCGACUCUCUGGUCUGUAACUGACGCUGAGGUUCGAAAGCGUGGGUAGCAAACAGG